rnacentral:lncRNA from 1 species
AUGUCCAAACAAUUUGGCUGUACUCAGGUUUUUGAGAGAUUUUAAUUUUUACCCAAACAACCAAUCAGAGCAUGUUCAAAGAUCACAUAUGUUUUCUACCAUCUAUGUUAUCUACACUUGUCUCAGCAAUGUAAUGAGAAUUAAAUUAUGAUGAAGUGUGUCAUGGGUUGUAGAUGGGUAAUGCCUAAUUCUAUGGUACUAUCGCAGUAUAUUAACAAAAGAGCAAAUAAGAGAAAGGAUAGCUGUGGUAUGAGAUCAACGAAUGAAUAGAGAAGGUGCUUGAUAGCUGUUUUUUUAUGUCAGCUUUAUGGUUCAGCUCUGAGUAACAUGUGAAUAUUGAACUAUCCAAAGUAAAGGGUUUUGCGGAGACAAUACUAAAUUAAUUAAUUGACACUACUUUCGGUGCAUGUGGGCAGGUUAGUGCAUGAGCUUCUGUUGGUUGCAAUUAAAUAUGAACAGAGAGAUUUUUAUAUUAUCAUUUCGUAAAGACAUAUGAAAGAUUUAAAGUUCUCCCCAUCUUUACGAUUUGAUCGAGACUUUUAGAAUAAUGGAAUAUAUAAAUAACAGAUAUCGAAACGAGCAACU